AGAGAGAGAGACAGAGACAGAGAUAGAGACAGAGAGACAGAGAGGUUCUAAGUCUGACAGAAGGUACUCAGCAAAAGAAGCAAUAGGUCGUUUGUGGAAGAUGAGAGGGAAAAGAAGAGGGAAGACUAGUUUCAGUGAAAGGAGGGAAGGAUACUUGCCUACUCAGAAACAAGAGAUAAGAAUGGGGGAAAUGUUAAAAGGAACUCCAAUUUUUGGAUUUACUUUUGCCUGGAGGUCAGCAGUGACAGAAGAGGAUCAUGGCAAAGUCCUCUAAUGGAGCUAAGGAAAGAAGAGAAGUUGUAUUCCUCCUUCUGCUUAGGAAUCCUGAUGAAGGAGGUUGUGCCAAUAGCAUUAGCCUUUAAUCUACUAAUAGAUUGAAAUUUUCAGGUUGGGAGCCCUUCUUGGAAACAUUGGUCUGGAAGACUGGAUACCUGGAUUCCAGCUCCAGGUCUCCAUUUUGUGUGUUAACACUAAGCAGGUUUCUUUCUACCCUUGAUUUCCUCCUUUGCAAAAUGAGCUGGUUGAACUAGUCAAGAGUUAACCUUUUUAUGUCAUGUACCCCUUUAGUAGUAUGAUGAAACCCACAGACCCCUUCUCAGAAUAAUGUUUUUAAAUAAUUGAAGGAAACGCUAAAUUUCAGUUAGGGUCAGUGAAAAUAAAGAUGUAACUAUUUUCUGUAUCCAAAUUCAUAGACCCUUCCAACCCCGUGGAAGCAGUAAGAACUGCUUAUCUGGGUGAUUUCUAAGGUACCAGAACUUGUAGUGCCAACAUUCUAUGAUCUUUAUCCUUAUUCUGACCUCAAGACACUGGGCCAUGGAUUUCCUCCUUCAGAGGAGAUAGAGGGGAGAUAAUGGGGUUGUGUGGUUUUCCUAUCUUUUCUCCAGGACAACAGAGAAACAAAAUGGGGUCUUGAGGCAACUGGAUGUGAAACAAUCAUAGCAGUAAUAGCAGGAUUUCUAUUUCUGACUGUUUUUCUUAUGACAUGAAAGUGAGAAAAAGGUUGCUAUUGACUGAGUAUAUCCCCUGUAGUCCUUAGGGGUGGUUGUUAUUAUUCAGUCAUUCACUUGUGUCCAACUCUUUGUGAACCCAUGGACCAUACCACACUUGGCCCUUCUAUCCUCCACUAUCUCUUGAAAUCUGUCCAACUUAGUGCUCCUUGUUUCCAUGACACUAUGCAUAUCUCAUUCUCUUCUGUCCUCUUUUCCUUUUGCCUUCAAUUUUUCCUAACAUCAGGGUCUUUUCCAAUGAGUUCUCAUUCCGUAGCCAAAGUAUUUAAGCUUCAGCAUCAGUAUUUGACCUCCCAGUUAAUGGCCUGAAUGAAUUUCUUUUAAGGAUUGACUGAUUUGAUCUCCUUAGAGACUCUUAAAAGUCUUCUCUAGCAGUACUUGAGGAAAGGGUGGCGUUAAAGGGAGAGAUUCUUUUGGGAUACCUAGUGAGUAUUUUUCAGCGAGGAUUACUUUUGCAUGUUUGGGUUUGGAGGCACAGAAUUAAAACUUUAGACCCUGCUCUGAUCUUCUGGUUUGUCACAGGGUUUGUCCCCAGUUCCACCACUCUCAUUUGGCUAUCCUACACCCUCUCCCAAUCUGGUGCUUCUGUUCUCCCUCUGCUCAAUAUGAUCAGUGACUCUGGUCUCCCAUUCCUAAGCAAGACCUUCCAUCUACUGACUUUAUGCAUUUUCACUAUCUGUCUCCCACUUCUGGAAUUCUCUCCCUCUUCAUUUUGGCUUCCUUUAAGUCCCAGCUAAAAUCCUACCUUUUGCAAGAA